GGGUAACCUUUUCAGCAUCGGAACCUGGGGUAACCAUGUUGGGUUUCAAGAGAGUUCCUUCAAGCAGGACUUUGUGAUCAUUGAGUGCCUUGUAGCAAGCAGCAAGUACACGUUCGGUCACAUCAGCACACUUGUUAAUAUCAUGAGGUCCAUCGACCAAAAUCUCAGGCUCAACAAUUGGCACCAAGCCAUUCUCCUGGCAGAUUAUGGCAUAACGAGCCAAACCAUUGGCAUUCUCAUUGAUAGCCAGCUGAGAGGGCUCAUUAGGACCAAUCUUCAGCACUGCACGCCAUUUUGCAAACCUGGCACCAG
rnacentral:lncRNA from 1 species